AACUUUUCAGCUAGAGUAUGAUAGAGGAAAGCAGAAUUUCUAGUGUAGAGGUGAAAUUCGUAGAUAUUAGAAAGAAUACCAAUUGCGAAGGCAGCUUUCUGGAUCAUUACUGACACUGAGGAACGAAAGCAUGGGUAGCGAAGAGGAUUAGAUACCCUCGUAGUCCAUGCCGUAAACGAUGUGUGUUAGACGUUGGAAAUUUAUUUUCAGUGUCGCAGGGAAACCGAUAAACACACCGCCUGGGGAGUACGACCGCAAGGUUAAAACUCAAAUGAAUUGACGGGGACCCGCACAAGUAGUGGAGCAUGUGGUUUAAUUCGAAGAUACGCGCAGAACCUUACCAACACUUGACAUGUUCGUCGCGACUCUAAGAGAUUAGAGUUUUCGGUUCGGCCGGACGAAACACAGGUGCUGCAUGGCUGUCGUCAGCUCGUGUCGUGAGAUGUUGGGUUAAGUCCCGCAACGAGCGGCAACCCCUCACUUUUAGUUGCCAUCAUUAAGUUGGGCACUCUGAAAGAACUGCCAGUGAUAAGCUGGGAGGAAGGUGGGGAUGACGUCAAGUCCUCAUGGGCCCUUACGUGUUGGGGCUACACACGUGCUACAAUGGUAUCUACAACAGGAAGCAAGACUGCGAAGGUUAAGCAAAUCCCUAAAAGAUACCUCAGUUCGGAUUGCACUCUGCAACUCGAGUGCAUGAA
rnacentral:rRNA from 1 species